CCAGCAGCCGCGGUAAUUCCAGCUCCAAUAGCGUAUAUUAAAGUUGUUGCAGUUAAAAAGCUCGUAGUUGGAUUUCUGUUAAUAAUUUAUAUAUAAUAUUUUAUUAAUAUUUAUAUAGUAUUAACAUAAUUCAUAUUACUAUAUUUUAUAGUAUAUGAAAUUUUACUUUGAGAAAAUUAGAGUGCUUAAAGCAGGCAUUAGCCUUGAAUACUCCAGCAUGGAAUAAUAUAAAAGAUUUUUAUCUUUUUUAUUGGUUCUAAGAUAAAAAUAAUGAUUAAUAGGGACAGUUGGGGGCAUUUGUAUUUAACAGUCAGAGGUGAAAUUCUUAGAUUUGUUAAAGACAAACUAGUGCGAAAGCAUUUGCCAAGGAUGUUUUCAUUAAUCAAGAACGAAAGUUAGGGGAUCGAAGACGAUCAGAUACCGUCGUAGUCUUAACCAUAAACUAUGCCAACUAGAGAUUGGAGGUUGUUCCUUACUCCUUCA
rnacentral:rRNA from 1 species